GCUAGUAAUCGCAGAUCAGCAUGCUGCGGUGAAUACGUUCCCGGGCCUUGUACACACCGCCCGUCACACCAUGGGAGUCGGUAACACCCAAAGUUGGUAGCCUAACCGCAAGGGGGGCGCCGCCUAAGGUGGGAUUGAUGACUGGGGUGAAGUCGUAACAAGGUAAC
rnacentral:rRNA from 1 species